ACGGAAGGCAGCAGUGAGGAAUAUUGGUCAAUGGGCGGGAGCCUGAACCAGCCAAGUAGCGUGAGGGAUGACGGCCCUAUGGGUUGUAAACCUCUUUUGGAAGGGAAUAAAGUGAGCCACGUGUGGUUCAUUGCCUGUAUCUGUGGAAUAAGGCUCGGCUAACUCCGUGCCAGCAGCCGCGGUAAUACGGAGGAUCCGAGCGUUAUCCGGAUUUAUUGGGUUUAAAGGGAGCGUAGGCGGGAUGUCAAGUCAGCUGUGAAAUGUAGUCGCUCAACGUCUGCACUGCAGUUGAAACUGGUGUUCUUGAGUGCGUAAGAGGCAGGUGGAAUUCGUCGUGUAGCGGUGAAAUGCAUAGAUAUGACGAAGAACUCCGAUUGCGAAUGCAGCCUACUGGGUCGCUACUGACGCUGAAGCUCGAAGGUGCGGGUAUCAAACAGGAUUAGAUACCCUGGUA
rnacentral:rRNA from 1 species